rnacentral:rRNA from 1 species
AUACGGAGGGAGUUAGCGUUGUUCGGAAUUACUGGGCGUAAAGCGCACGUAGGCGGAUUGGAAAGUUGGGGGUGAAAUCCCAGGGCUCAACCCUGGAACUGCCUCCAAAACUAACAGUCUAGAAUUCGAGAGAGGUGAGUGGAAUUCCAAGUGUAGAGGUGAAAUUCGUAGAUAUUUGGAGGAACACCAGUGGCGAAGGCGGCUCACUGGCUCGAUACUGACGCUGAGGUGCGAAAGCGUGGGGAGCAAACAGGAUUAGAAACCCCGGUAGUCC